rnacentral:rRNA from 1 species
AUUGAACGCUGGCGGAAGGCCUAACACAUGCAAGUCGAACGAGUGGCGGACGGGUGAGUAAUGUCUGGGAGACUGCCAGAUGGAGGGGGAUAACUACAGGAAAAGGUAGCUAAGACCGCAUACCAUCGGAUGUGUCCAGAUGGGAUUAGCUAGUGGGUGGGGGAACGGCUCAGCUAGGGGACGAUCCCUAGCUGGUCGGAGAGGAGGACCAGCCACACGGGAACUGAGACACGGUCCAGACUCCUACGGGAGGCAGCAGUGGGGAAUAUUGCACAAUGGGCGCAAGCCUGAUCCAGCCAUGCCGCGUGUAUGAUGAAGGCCUUCGGGUUGUAAAGUACUUUUGGCAAGGAAGCGGUACCCGCAGAAUAAGCACCGGCUAACUCCGUGCCAGCAGCCGCGGUAAUUC